GAAAAAAAAUUCGUAACUCUCUUCACCAUUUCUUCCCAAAUCUUCAAAAUACCAUAUCUCCUUCAUUUCAAGUCCGAAUUGAGCGAUUCUUGCGGCCACGGAACGAGAAAAUGAUUUUCUACAGAUCUAUGGCUUCAAUUUAAGGUGUUUAUAAGCUUCUAUGGAAGAUUGUGGAUGGUGAAUUUAUGCCUUGAAGCUUCGGCAUAGGGACAACAUCCAAGACUCGACGAAGCGACUAUCGAUAAGGCUCGAGGGGAACGGAUCGAGAUGUCUUCAUGUUUAUUUGAAGAAUUUGGAUAGCAAGUGGGAUAGCAUGAUAUGAUUUGGAAAGUCAAGCUUCCGAAGUUUUAAUUCUCGGAAGUCAUUUGCACAAGAAGUGAAAGAAGGUUUUCAUUCUAGCGGUCCGCAGUAGUCUAGAUGUUUUAGUCUAUGUAUUUGUAUAACGCAUUUUAACUCGGAUGUUUUUGUAAAAUGGGGUCACAUGUAUUUUGAUAUAUGAAAUAUGAUUUGAUUUGCGAAAAAUUUAAACAGGUUUUUAGGCUUGCUACGGGUUUCGGAGCUACCACUCCCAUUCCCUAGCGCCGGUCGCGGCUCGAGAAAUCGGGUCGUGACAUUAACCAUUUAGUAAACCAUCAACACAUCAAUCAUCCUUAAAACCUUGAUAACAACUUCAGUAAACUCAAAAUACACUAAUUAUCACAAAAUUGAAUGAAUUUUCAACAAAAAACUACAGCAAAACUAUCAAUGUAUCCAGUCUGAAUGAUUAUCAAUGUAUCCAGUUGCCUAACUACGCAAUUGAUCAGAGACAACAGUUACCUAAC